CUCACUGGCUCCCUCUCUCUGCCGACAGAUCCAUUCUUUUUUUUAGUCUUUUCAUCUUCUUUGCUCUCAUCUCUCCCAUCGAUUUUGUGUCUACGGCCUUGUUCUCUUCCUCAAGUUGAUGCCGUCCCGUUUUGGUCCUCUCUUCCCCAGAAUCCAUUGUUUACGGCCUCUUUGGAGAGAGAGGAGACCGAGAGAAUAAAGAAGAGAUAAAGUUCGGCCGGGGGAAGAAGCCGGAUAUGAAGAAGCUUUGCUGGUGGAGAUGGAUCCAAGCAAGAAGAAGAAAGAGAUAAAAAGGGAGAAGACAGAGACGUAAGGAAGAUGGAAGAGGAAGGUGACGCAAGAGGAAGGCAGCGGCGUAGAUUAGGUUUAGUUUUGGUUGGUUUAUUAGGUUUCGUUUAGAUAGGGUUAAUUUAAUAAACCGGUUUGUGUGUAAACCACUGUUAAGAAAUAAACCGAUAUUAAUUUUAAACCAGUUAUUUGUAUACUGAUUUUAAUUAUUAAAUAAAAUUUAAUAUUUAAUUA